rnacentral:tRNA from 1 species
GCCUUCGUGGUGUAGGGGUCAGCACGCUCGUUGCGUAUUUGAGAGGUCCGUGUUCGAGUCCCGGUGAGGGCA